rnacentral:lncRNA from 1 species
GGAGGGCUGGGGUAUUGUGACAAUAAAGGUACUGGGGAGUACAGCAGGACACCUGAGCAGCUCAGCUCAAAGGCAGCCCAGGUCCAGUAGGGGUGAAUCUCAGUCUAGAGCUAAAAAAACUCUGUUUGUUUUCCUGCUGCUCUAAAACCUGGUAAAAUGUAUCAGGAGAAUUAAUCACUGUAUUCAUAGCAUUUUGGGUCCUAAAAGGUCCACGACUCUUCUCAGUCUCUCUCUUAUAUUACAAAUGCAAUAACAUCUUUUAUGUUUAUCCUUACACUGAGAAGAAAUUAGAAAUAUUACUAAAAAGGAUAGAAAAACUUUGGAAGCAUGGUGAACCUGAUUAUCCCUUCUAAUAGACCACUUCUUAUCAGCUUUGUGACCAGGUUUCUCCAAUGAAGAAUUUGUCAUCCGGAUUUCUAAGCCAGGGAUCUUGGAAAUAGACAGCACCGGAGAAUCCUAUUUCUCAGGAAAAGCAAAAAAUUCUGAUGCCUUGUGGGACUCCCCUUGUGCGAGCCAUUGGCAGCGUGCUUUGGUGCUGUCCUCGGAACAGGCCAGGAAGCAGAUGGCAUGUCAGACCGUGACAGUCCUGCUGCUUUAUUCCAGAAGCAGCACAUCCUGUGCUGGCCCAGUGACAACGGGUCCUCCUGGUGACCCACUGGAGUGCAGAAGCUGGGCAGAGUCUCCACUUGGAGGACAGUCCUUACAGGCAGGCUGUGCUACAACAGCUCCCUCUCCCCAUCUGAGGACAACAAGUGCAGCAGAGGAAGUAAAAGAGAUUUCAGCAAUUCUUGUAUCUGAUGAAGAGUAA